rnacentral:tRNA from 1 species
GGGCCUAUGGCUUAAUGGAUAAAGCGCCGGUCUUCGGAACCGGAGACUCCAGUUUCGAUCCCUGGUAGGCUUG